CCUACGGGAGGCAGCAGUAGGGAAUCUUCGGCAAUGGACGAAAGUCUGACCGAGCAACGCCGCGUGAGUGAAGAAGGUUUUCGGAUCGUAAAACUCUGUUGUUAGAGAAGAACGUUGUGUAGAGUGGAAAAUUACACAAGUGACGGUUCUACCAGAAACACU
rnacentral:rRNA from 1 species